AUUGAACGCUGGCGGCAGGCCUAACACAUGCAAGUCGAGCGGAUGAAGGGAGCUUGCUCCUGGAUUCAGCGGCGGACGGGUGAGUAAUGCCUAGGAAUCUGCCUGGUAGUGGGGGAUAACGUCCGGAAACGGGCGCUAAUACCGCAUACGCCCUGAGGGAGAAAGUGGGGGAUCUUCGGACCUCACGCUAUCAGAUGAGCCUAGGUCGGAUUAGCUAGUUGGUGGGGUAAAGGCCUACCAAGGCGACGAUCCGUAACUGGUCUGAGAGGAUGAUCAGUCACACUGGAACUGAGACACGGUCCAGACUCCUACGGGAGGCAGCAGUGGGGAAUAUUGGACAAUGGGCGAAAGCCUGAUCCAGCCAUGCCGCGUGUGUGAAGAAGGUCUUCGGAUUGUAAAGCACUUUAAGUUGGGAGGAAGGGCUGUAAGUUAAUACCUUGCUGUUUUGACGUUACCAACAGAAUAAGCACCGGCUAACUUCGUG
rnacentral:rRNA from 1 species